ACGAAUGGACCCUCGUCGUGCGUUACGUCCAGCGGAGAGAUGCCGGUGUGUACGAGUGUCAGAUCAACACGGAUCACAAACUCUCACGCGCUGUCACGCUUAAGGUCUAUGAUACGAGCCAGCAGAUGAGCGUCUCGAAGACAAAGGUUUUCUUGGCGAACAACACAGCGUCGACCAAAGACGGCAACCUCCGCGUCGAGAUCCAGGGGCCUCGAGAGCUGUACAUCGAGGAAGGUUCCUCCCUCAGCCUCACCUGCGUCGUGACCUCCUCUCGCGGGCCGUCCAAGCUGAUCUACUGGUACCACAACACCAACC